GAGAAGGGGAAAGAGAAACAGAUCAUUGAAGAAAAUUAUCUAGGGAGUUUGGGUGUUAUUGUAGAUGAUUUCCUUAAAAAGGAACAAAAGAAAAACAAAAACUUCUGUGCCCAAAUUUUCAUGGUUUAAAGAGGGAGUUUUUUAGCUUUCUACUUGAUCUUCUGCAUAUCAAAUAAAAAACUAGAAUAUAUUCAAAUGUGCUCAACUGCGUUGCUUUAAAUAAUUUUGUGGCGCUUCUUUUUAGCAUUUGAUGAAUACAGAAAUAUCAGCCAAAAGGAUAUUGAGGACAGCAUAAAAGGAGAAUUAUCCGGGCAUUUUGAAGACUUACUGUUGGCCAUAGUUCAUUGUGUGAGGAACACGCCGGCCUUUUUAGCCGAAAGACUGCAUCGAGCCUUGAAGGGUAUUGGAACUGAUGAGUUUACUCUGAACCGAAUAAUAGUGUCCAGAUCAGAAAUUGACCUUUUGGACAUUCGAACAGAGUUCAAGAAGCAUUAUGGCUAUUCCCUAUAUUCAGCAAUUAAAUCGGAUACUUCUGGAGACUAUGAAAUCACACUCUUAAAAAUCUGUGGUGGAGAUGACUGAACCAAGAAGAUAAUCUCCAAAGGUCCACGAUGGGCUUUCCCAACAGCUCCACCUUACUUCUUCUCAUACUAUUUAAGAGAACAAGCAAAUAUAAACAGCAACUUGUAUUCCUAACAGGAAUUUUCAUUGUUCUAUAACAACAACAACAAAAGCGAUUAUUAUUUUAGAGCAUCUCAUUUAUAAUGUAGCAGCUCAUAAAUGAAAUUUAAAAUGGUAUUAAGGAUCUGCAAAUACUAUCCAACUUAUAU
rnacentral:sRNA from 1 species